rnacentral:rRNA from 1 species
UACGGAGGAUCCAAGCGUUAUCCGGAUUUAUUGGGUUUAAAGGGUGUGUAGGCGGAUUUUUAAGUCAGAGGUGAAAUCUCCAGGCUCAACCUGGAAACUGCCCCUGAUACUAUUAGUCUUGAAUAUUGAUGAGGUGGGCGGAACGGGUCAUGUAGCGGUGAAAUGCUUAGAGAUGACCCGGAACACCAAUUGCGAAGGCAGCUCACUGGGCAAUUAUUGACGCUGAGGCACGAAAGCGUGGGGAUCAAACAGG